rnacentral:rRNA from 1 species
AAUUUUUCUCAAUGGGGGAAACCCUGAAGGAGCGACGCCGCGUGGGGGAUGAAUGGCUUCGGCCCGUAAACCCCUGUCAUUUGCUAACAAACCUUUCCGGAUAACACCCGGAGAGCUGCUUGUAGCGGAAGAGGAAGGGACGGCUAACUCUGUGCCAGCAGCCGCGGUAAUACAGAGGUCCCAAGCGUUGUUCGGAUUCACUGGGCGUAAAGGGUGCGUAGGUGGUCGGGUAAGUCUGAUGUGAAAUCUCUGGGCUCAACCCAGAAAUGGCAUUGGAUACUAUCUGGCUAGAGGAGUGGAGGGGGAACUGGAAUACUUGGUGUAGCAGUGAAAUGCGUAGAUAUCAAGUGGAACACCAGUGGCGAAGGCGAGUUCCUGGACACUUCCUGACACUGAGGCACGAAAGCUAGGGGAGCAAAC